rnacentral:rRNA from 1 species
UUUUAUUUGAGAGUUUGAUCCUGGCUCAGGAUGAACGCUGGUGGCGUGCCUAACACAUGCAAGUUGAGCGAUUUACUUCGGUAAAGAGCGGCGGACGGG